CCAGUGUCUAAUGAGACAAGGCCAAAAGUAUGCCACCAAAUCUGCUAAACUUAUUGUGUACUCCCUCUGUCACCCCUCCCCCCUUAACGUAAUUUCUCCCUUGAUUUUCUAAUAGCUCUGACUGGUCCUUUCUUUUAAGUUUGCAAUUUUUUAUUAUAUCUAUUUUUGUAAUAAACGCUUGUUGAACUGAAUUGCUCAAAUCUUAUUUGCCGUAACUAUCACAUGAACGCUGCAGGCUAUUACCCCUUCCAUCAGCAUUUGCGUUACAACUAAGGCCUUUAGUGCCUUAACCCCAAGAUUUAAUGGUAGAAAUUUCUGGUAGGAAAUGAGGGAACAUAUGGGGGUGGGUAGGACUCUCUACCCUUCAAAUCACCCCAAGUGUGAGUAAGGCAGCCAGUGGUCCUGGGCCACAGUCCAGUAAUCAGGACGGGAAAUCAAGGUGAAGAGUUUGGGAGAUUAAAAACAAACUAAACGCCACCUAAACGGUGGGUGGGGUCAAGGGCCUGCAGCUGCCCCCUCCCCCUUCUCCGGUAACCGGGACCCAGAGUUCCGUCGCGGGGUUCCGCCGGGGGCCUGGCCGCGGGGGGAGGGGGGCUGCAACCUCCCAGACGACCCCGGGCCCGGGGGGCGAGCGCUCCACUUCCGGCCGGCCGCGGCCCCUUAAGUUAGUUACCUGCGGCGAAGUGGAGGGGAGUGGACUUCCUGCCCGCCGUGUCGCGGCUGUUCACCUUCUCCGGGGUCACCAACUUUUUGACGCGCUCCACGUCCCCGUUCCGACAAGCCUCGAACAACUCCCGGGCCGCGGGCUCUACGGCCUCCCCCGCCGAGGCCGCGCCCGCGCCGGGUCCUCCCCCGCCAGCGCAACGGCGGCCGGACAUAAUCGCGGCCAGCGGCGGCGGCGGCGACGGCAGGAGGAGGAGGGCGAGGCCCCCGGGAAGAGACGUGCUCAGAGUCCCGGGCUGCUCCGUUCCGCUCCGCCCCGCCGUCACCGGCCCUGGCGCAGGACCAUGGCUCCCCUCCCCCGCAGCGAUCCCCCCGCCGGCCUCGCGCCCAGGCCCCGGACGCCUCGAGCUCCGUCGGCUGCCCCGCCGCGCAGGCAGCGCGAGUCCCCCCGCCCCGCCCCCCGCUCCCUCAGCGGCCGCCGCGACGGUGGCUGCAAAGGCCACUCUGGCUGGCUCUGGGGAGUCCGGGAGGCUCACGGGACGGCCACUGGCCCACGCGUGCGCAGAAAGGGCCGACGCGUCAGGCAGGUUUCGCUCAGAGGGGGGAGGGGCCUACUGGGACAUGACCAGAGGAAGGAGGCUGUUGAGGCGCAGGCGGAGAAGGUCCAGGGCCUGGCUGCCAUGUUGGCUGUAGGGGCCCCUUCCGCCCACCGUGCUCGGUGGAUAGAGAACUAGCCUCAAGCCUCAUGUACUGACUCUGAGUGUUACAGGCCAUCCUAAGACUACAGGAAUCCUAUAGCAACCUCGAGGAGCUUAAAAGGUAAUGGAUAAUAGCUAUCAGAUUAACACUGGGGCUGCUUCAUUUUUGUUUUUGUAUUUCCAGAGC
rnacentral:lncRNA from 1 species